AGCAGUAGCCGCGGUAAUACGUAGGUGGCAAGCGUUGUCCGGAAUUAUUGGGCGUAAAUGGCUCGCAGGCGGUUUCUUAAGUCUGAUGUGAAAGCCCCCGGCUCAACCGGGGAGGGUCAUUGGAAACUGGGAAACUUGAGUGCAGAAGAGGAGAGUGGAAUUCCACGUGUAGCGGUGAAAUGCGUAGAGAUGUGGAGGAACACCAGUGGCGAAGGCGACUCUCUGGUCUGUAACUGACGCUGAGGAGCGAAAGCGUGGGAGCGAACAGGAUUAGAUACCCCCGUAGUCCCUGUCUCUUAUACC
rnacentral:rRNA from 1 species